rnacentral:rRNA from 1 species
UGGCGGCGUGCCUAAUACAUGCAAGUCGAGCGAAUGGAUUAAGAGCUUGCUCUUAUGAAGUUAGCGGCGGACGGGUGAGUAACACGUGGGUAACCUGCCCAUAAGACUGGGAUAACUCCGGGAAACCGGGGCUAAUACCGGAUAACAUUUUGAACUGCAUGGUUCGAAAUUGAAAGGCGGCUUCGGCUGUCACUUAUGGAUGGACCCGCGUCGCAUUAGCUAGUUGGUGAGGUAACGGCUCACCAAGGCAACGAUGCGUAGCCGACCUGAGAGGGUGAUCGGCCACACUGGGACUGAGACACGGCCCAGACUCCUACGGGAGGCAGCAGUAGGGAAUCUUCCGCAAUGGACGAAAGUCUGACGGAGCAACGCCGCGUGAGUGAUGAAGGCUUUCGGGUCGUAAAACUCUGUUGUUAGGGAAGAACAAGUGCUAGUUGAAUAAGCUGGCACCUUGACGGUACCUAACCAGAAAGCCACGGCUAACUACGUGCCAGCAG